rnacentral:pre_miRNA from 1 species
AGUCUUGUUUGGUAGACAAGGAUGACUUGCCUGAUCCUUUUCUUCAAUGGGAGAGUUCUCAGGCAGUCUCCUUGUCUAACUUGACAGACUCG